rnacentral:lncRNA from 1 species
GUGAAGGCAGAGAACUGAUAGUUUGCUAUACAAGAUAAUAUAUCUCAUCUCGAAAGGGCUCUGCAGAAGAAAAAUUUCAUCAGCAUCCAUCCAUCCAUCCAUCUACCCACCCACACAUCUACCCA